rnacentral:rRNA from 1 species
AAUGGCGAAAGGGGCAGUAAUGUAUGGGUAACCUACCCGGGGGUCGUGAAUAGCCAUUCUAACGAGUGGGUAAUGCACGGCGAUUCAGCGAGGAGACAUCUCUUUGCUGGGAAAGAAUUUCGCCUCCGGAGGGGCCCAUAUCGUAUUAGCUAGUUGGUGAGGUAACGGCUCACCAAGGCGAAGAUGCGUAGCGGGUGUGAGAGCACGACCCGCGCCACUGGCACUGAGACACUGGCCAGACACCUACGGGUGGCUGCAGUCGAGGAUCUUCGGCAAUGGGCGAAAGCCUGACCGAGCGACGCCGCGUGGACGAUGAAGGCCUUCGGGUUGUAAAGUCCUGUCGAGGGGGAUCAAGGCGCAAGCUUGAGUGAUCCCUGGAGGAAGCACGGGCUAAGUUCGUGCCAGCAGCCGCGGUAAGAAGAACCGUGCAAACGUUAUUCGGAAUCACUGGGCAUAAAGGGCGCGUAGGCGGCUUCAUAAGUCAGGGGUGAAAUCCGGCAGCUUAACUGUCGCAGUGCCUUUGAUACUGUGAAGCUCGAGGGAUGUAGGGGUCUGUGGAACUUCCGGUGGAGCGGUGAAAUGCGUUGAUAUCGGAAGGAACGCCGGUGGCGAAAGCGACGGACUGGACAUUUUCUGACGCUGAGGCGCGAAAGCCAGGGGAGCAAACGGGAUUAGAUACCCCGGUAGUCCUGGCCCUAAA